AUUGAACGCUGGCGGCAUGCUUUACACAUGCAAGUCGAACGGCAGCACAGGGAGCUUGCUCCCGGGUGGCGAGUGGCGCACGGGUGAGUAAUACAUCGGAACGUGUCCUGUUGUGGGGGAUAACCUGCUCGAAAGGGUGGCUAAUACCGCAUGAGACCUGAGGGUGAAAGCGGGGGAUCGCAAGACCUCGCGCAAUUGGAGCGGCCGAUGCCCGAUUAGCUAGUUGGUGAGGUAAAGGUUCACCAAGGCGACGAUCGGUAGCUGGUCUUGAGAGGACGACCAGCCACACCUGGGACCUGAGACACGGCCCAGACUCCUACGGGAGGCAGCA
rnacentral:rRNA from 1 species